rnacentral:rRNA from 1 species
UACGGGGGGGGCAAGCGUUGUCCGGAUUUACUGGGCGUAAAGAGCGCGCAGGCGGUCGUUCAAGUCGCGUGUGAAAGCCCCGGGCUCAACCUGGGAAUUGCAUUCGAGACUGAAUAGCUAGGGUACGGUAGAGGGAAGCGGAAUUUCCGGUGUAGCGGUGAAAUGCGCAGAUAUCAGGAGGAACACCGGUGGCGAAGGCGGGUCUCUGGGCCGAUACUGACGCUGAGGAGCGAAAGCGUGGGGAGCGAACAGG